rnacentral:lncRNA from 1 species
AUCUCUUUAGAUCUGACAGUUCCGUCGUCGCGUAUGCGUGUGGGAAAAUCGUUUGUGUCAUUUCUGUCCGUGUUUCCAACGCACCUUGCGCACACAUUUAUGCCUGUACAACUCUACUCGAAAGUCUAUUUAUGUAAAAUAUCCUAGACGUAAGAUGUACAUGUGUCGUAUCACUUGCAAAUGUUACGUAAAAAUGUCACGAUUCAUCCAGACAACGAAGCGCGACGCGACGGUGUAAAAAGCCGAGAUAAAUUUAUACCAAACGGAUGUGUGUAACGUUAUUUUCUUACCCAAUUGCGUGAAGCAAAUUAUCGGCUGUGAGAGGUUUACGUUCAUGCGAUUGAUCGUCGAUCGUGCAGCCGAAUGUAAAUUAGUGGGUGCAGCUACGCCUUUUCACGGUUAAAGUCGUGAUACGUGAUACCGUCGUUUCAACGUUUUAUUCACCUUUAAAAUCGGUACAUAAAUUCUUUACUCAGCGGAUUAACUUGUAUCAUAAACUCUGUGAAACAUGUACGUAUCGUUAUUUUUUUUUUUUUUUCUCUUGAACCACGACUCGAUGAAAUCGCGUUCAAGCACAGAAACCCACGAAUAUUAGACAUUGUUGUUUGAUGUGUAACUUUCCUUGCGGGUUACGCAAUUCUGAUAAAAGAACCAUCGAUUAUUCUGUUCUGUUAUUUAAUCUAAAGAAAUUUCGCUGAUUUCGUGGUAAUAUCUGGCAAAGCCGAAUUAAUCGAAAUAAUAAGGAAAAUUUUAAAUGUGGGGUAUAUAAAGCAAACGGACCUGAAUCUCGGUAACAAAAGCGAAAUUUUUGUUACAUUACAAACCCACACCCAUAACCUACAUUACAACUGGCACGCCUCCUCCACGUGGUUUAAAUAUGGGCCAACCUGCAAGUUUGACGCGAAACCAUAACGCGCACAAUUCAACGCUGAGAUGCAAAACGACGCGGGUAAAUCCGACUUUUAAUCGCUCGCGAAAACGUUGCUUAUAACGUCGAAACGAUGCAGAAAUUCUUGUGCCUAGCUAGGGAAACACUGACAUACGACGCUGCGCGAAUUCGGCGUAUACUGGUGAAGAUUGCCGAGAUGCCAGGCGCGCGAAUCUGGACCGAAAGGGACGAUACUAUUCCUCCGAGUGGUAACCGAGUCCCGAGGGAACCGUGGGAGAGCCGCGAAGUUCCGCGGACAAAGCUGAAAGCUCUUCGAGCUUUCGGGCGGUAAGCAAGGUGCGCCCCGGAAUUCCAACCACUCCAAGAUCGCCGGCAUUCGAUUGAUCAGCGAAUCGGGAAACUGACUUCGCGGUCGAAAAGCUUCGCUACGAUGCCAACAAUUUCAGGAUUUGUAUUUGCGGAAUAUUCAGCGAGAAGAGUGUCGUUUAAAUAUUCAAAAACACCGAAACACUGAGCUUGAUCGAGUUUUAAUCGAACUUCUAAACAUACGGUUUCAACUUUUUUUUUCUGUCAUUGAUGCUAUAUUAUUCCUUUUAACACAGGUGAAAAUCGUGACUCUGUUGAUGAAAGUUCAUUCUUAUUUGUUACAUGGUGAAAAUAUAAGUGAAAAAUUUUGUCCCACAUGUUAGAAAUGCGACAUUCGCUUCGCGUAUUCUGUGCACGACUGCACGGUUAUCUAGCCUGUAUGACAAAAGUUGGAAAAAGUGGGAAAUGCGGUCGCUGCGAGUCGCGCAGAAACUGAAUUUUCAUUUAUACGACGAUGAAGAAUCGCGUGGUGUGAUUGCAACCAAUAACGAUGGCGGCGGUUCAUUCAAACGCGG